CUGCCAACGAUUUAUCUUCAGAAGACAAGCAGAUGAGGAGACAAAACCUACUGAUGUGGGUACCCAAGCAGGAACCCCCCUCUUGCACCGGCGACUCACGUGGGAAGAAGGAUUCACUGAGCUGAAAUGGAGUGAGAGCUAAGAUGCUCUCAGAAUAUUCUUAAAAUGACUGUGCUGCAAAGAAGCCCGGGUGAAUAGAAGAAAAUAGAAGGAAUGGUGGAUACAAGUGAAGGUUAAAAUGAGGCCCCAUUUAUCGCACCAGCUGUUGGUGAUUUCAGCGCACCUUUCCAAGCCUCUUGAGAGUUCUGCUCUAACCACACUGCCCCCUAGUGUUCUCUCGCUUUGGUGCAACGUCCGUCUUGUACACUUCCUUCCACAGACCUGUAAUCAGCUAUUUCUUCAGGGAGCCUGUGAUUCCUUUUAGUGGAAAAUGGUAUGUAGAGAACAUUAUCUGUGUGUGAAGGGUUGAGCACGUUCCAUCUUUUCAGAGAACAAAGCUAGAAAACAUGUAUUUUAAUAAAAUAAUAUUCAUCAUGAAUUCAUGAUGUUUCCUAUUCAAAUUCCGUGAGGAUAUGGAUAAAGACCUUUAUGAUGACCCACUCCACUUCCAGGCAGGUUUCUCAUACUUCCGGAGAAAUAGAAAGCACCAGAUGACAGCCACCACACACUUUUGUCCCCAUUGCAAUAGGAUGCUUCUAACAAUCGUAAAAUUAUGAAACACUGAAUUCCUUAAAAGUUGUCCAUUUGUGGAUUUAUCUGAUGGUGGAGUCUCACUCACAGAACACUGGGCCCAGACUCUUGCGAGAACAUGCCUUUGAACUGUUUGCUGCUCACCUUUUAGUGAAAGCUCUUGACAGAAAUAUUAAAGAGAAAGUGUUUAAAGGAUGUGUGGUCAAUGCAUUCCUGACGGUGACUCUUCUGUGGAUUGAAAGCUCUGAAGUCCCACGCUGGAAAAACACUUAGAGAGACUUACAGAGAUAAUGGAAGUUGGUCAAUGGAGAAGGCAUCAAUUGGCAACAUUCGGUUGGACCAGUUAAUGAUUCAGUUUGCUUUUCAAAAGAUACUAGCAGACAGCAUUAAUCUUAUCACUCUCUUUAAGUAUAAUCUGGACGCAGAAAAUCACUCACAUGCCUUAAGUUAGGUUUGCUUCCAUGGAGGUCUGAUUGUGAGAUGGAGAUCUGUGGGGAGUUCCACUGGGAUGUGCUCUGGGCAAAACCACUAUGACAGCAGUGAAGGAAGAAGGAUCGGGUGGGAGGGGCACGCUGGAGUCCCGAGCUGGGAUG
rnacentral:lncRNA from 10 species